rnacentral:tRNA from 1 species
GAGGGUAUAACUCAGUGGCAGAGUGUGUGCUUAGCAUGCAGGAAGUCCUGGGUUCAAUCCCCAGUAACUCUU